rnacentral:sRNA from 1 species
ACCUAACCAUUGUGUUCUGCCAUGCCAUUGCACUGCGUCUUGUAACAACGGUCUGUGCUCGGGAUCUGGACAAUGCCAAAGUGGCUGGUUCGGAACUCGGUGUCAAUACAACGAUUUAGCAAAAGCCAAUGACGCUACAGUGGUUCUCCCCCAAAGGAACGCAUCCACAAACCUGCACGACAGCAAUGAUGACACGUGCGAAUACAACGUCAGCGACGUCACAGUCACGUGGGGAACUAAUUAUCCAUUAACAUGGAUACGCCUAAUUACGAACAAACUUGAUUACUUUCCCAAUGUUAGGAUUCGCUACAAGACUAAUGUCUCAGACACAG